rnacentral:sRNA from 1 species
ACGAACAGAAGUAAUAAAGGCUUUUGGUUGUGAUGUGAAAAUGAAUGAAAAUAUUUCAUUUCCGUGCACUUUUUGGGCUGAGAUUAUUGUGGCGUGUGUGUGUGUGUGUGUGUGUGUGGCGGUUUCUGGAACGGACUCUUAAUUAACACGCAAACUCGUG